rnacentral:rRNA from 1 species
CCUACGGGUGGCAGCAGUGAGGAAUAUUGGUCAAUGGCCGCAGGGCUGAACCAGCCAAGUCGCGUGAGGGAUGACGGUCCUAUGGAUUGUAAACCUCUUUUGUCAGGGAGCAAAAGGCGCCACGUGUGGCGUUUUGCGAGUACCUGAAGAAUAAGCAUCGGCUAACUCCGUGCCAGCAGCCGCGGUAAUACGGAGGAUGCGAGCGUUAUCCGGAUUUAUUGGGUUUAAAGGGAGCGUAGGUGGAUUGUUAAGUCAGUUGUGAAAGUUUGCGGCUCAACCGUAAAAUUGCAGUUGAUACUGGCAGUCUUGAGUGCGCGAGAAGUAUGCGGAAUGCGUGGUGUAGCGGUGAAAUGCAUAGAUAUCACGCAGAACUCCGAUUGCGAAGGCAGCAUACCGGCGCGCAACUGACGCUCAUGCACGAAAGCGUGGGUAUCGAACAGGAUUAGAUACCCUUGUAGUC